rnacentral:lncRNA from 1 species
UCCUUUUGCGCCACAACUUUCAUUCUCCAAUGCUACGUUUGCGCCACCUGUUUUAAAAUUACAUGGUAUCAUUUGCGCCAAAAAUAAAACAUACGACAAGCUACUACAAACACUGUACCCAUGCAGCAGCAGUAAGAAGAAAGUAUGUUUCAGAAAAGGAAACAUUUGCCAUGUAUAAACUGCCGGUUCAAAGUCCUAAUAAA